GNGCANCANGGGGAUAUUGNUCAAUGGCGGGACCUGAACCANCNAAUAGCUGCAGGAGGACGCCCUACGGUUGUAAACUGCUUUUAAUGAGGGAUAAAGUGGGNUACGUGUAGCUUAUUGCAGUACNUCAUGAAUAAGGACCGGCUAAUUCCGUGCCAGCAGCCGCGGUAAUACGGAAGGUCCCUGGCGUUAUCCGGAUUUAUUGGGUUUAAAGGGAGCGUAGGCGGAAGCUUAAGCGUGCUGUGAAAUGUACCGGCUCAACCGGUGACGUGCAGCGUGAACUGGGUUUCUUGAGUGUGCGGAAGGAAGGCGGAAUUCGUGGUGUAGCGGUGAAAUGCUUAGAUAUCACGAAGAACUCCGAUUGCGAAGGCAGCUUUCCGUAGCAUUACUGACGCUGAAGCUCGAAAGCGCGGGUAUCGAACAGGAUUAGAUANCCCUGGUAGUCCGCGCGGUAAACGAUGGAUACCCGCUGUCCGGCCUUUUGGUCGGGUGGCCAAGCGAAAGCAUUAAGUAUCCCACCUGGGGAGUACGCCGGCAACNGGNAGC
rnacentral:rRNA from 1 species